rnacentral:misc_RNA from 1 species
CGUCCCUCACCCCCCCCUAUCGUGUCCGCACGACAGGUGGUGGUGGAUGUGGGCCAACCUCGCACCAGUGGCGGGGCGGCCUGAAAGUCAAGAUCGGCAGUCGCCGCGGGUCAAACCUCCGCAGCGCCGCACAACAAGACGUGCCAGUGAGAAGUCUCUCAUCCAGCGUCGGACCGUGUGGCAUGCGGGCCAUGGGUUUGCAUCCAUCGCUCGAUCACUCGAACGAGGCGUUGUCGACCACCUAGUCGCCAGGCGAGGCUCCGGCCUCGUAGACCUGAACAC